UACGGUAGGGUGCAAGCGUUAAUCGGAAUUACUGGGCGUAAAGCGUGCGCAGGCGGUUUUGUAAGACUGUCGUGAAAUCCCCGGGCUUAACCUGGGAAUGGCGAUGGUGACUGCAAGGCUAGAGUUUGGCAGAGGGGGGUAGAAUUCCACGUGUAGCAGUGAAAUGCGUAGAGAUGUGGAGGAACACCGAUGGCGAAGGCAGCCCCCUGGGUCAAGACUGACGCUCAUGCACGAAAGCGUGGGGAGCAAACAGG
rnacentral:rRNA from 1 species